UAAUGUUAAGACCCGCCAUAGAACAGCUUUUUGGUCGCUCAUGCAACAUCUUGGUAUUGUAUAGUCUUUGGUAUUUGUCUUCUGUAAGCAGCAACACAGCAAUGCCAAAGCAACCCGUUGUGUGUUUGGGAAGGUAUGAAGAGUACUGUUCAGUCACAGACAUAUAUGUACCUUAUUAAUAUUACAGAAUAUACAGUACAAUCUCAUACACAAAUACUCAUAAAUACAAUUUUCCAUGUCACUUCAUGUCAAUGAAUAUGACGACACGAAAAUUACAUUAGAAACUAAGAAUAGACAAUUGCACUUGUAAACUCGAACCCACCAAAAAGGAUGAAGCAAUAAACUAUUUACUUUAUUGCUGCCAAGUACCUAAGUAAAUGCACUGAAAUGUAACCCCCGCACAGAGUAAGUGCACCCUAUCUAAAAAUACACUCACAUGGAGCCUGUGCGUUCCUUCCCAUACAAUAAGAGUACCACUGCUAGCUAUAUAAGGAGAUCCAUUUGUUCAAUAAAACUCAGUAUCAGAAACAGUACCACAACUGCCUGUCACUAAUUUUCCCAUCGCAAUUAUCAGAGGCUGUCGCCGUGUCUUCAGAUCCUGAUUUCGCGGUCAUACAUCGAUGCAUCGAAGAAUAAAUCCGAUGUAUCAAUCCAA